AUUGGUUGUCCUAUGUCAACAUUAUGUAAACUACUUUACGACACCGUCGUUACAACGUUAAUACAUUUCAAUAUGCUAUGAUAGUAUGUUAUGUUUUUCUUUUUUUUCUUUUUUGUUUUAAAAUGUGGUAUUGAUGAUUCAUUACAAAGAACCACACACGAGAUGGCACUAUGUAUUGGGAAAUUUCUUUCUAUAUUUUUCUUUCUUUUUACUUUUGUAAAAGUAUUU
rnacentral:lncRNA from 1 species